rnacentral:tRNA from 1 species
AUUUAAAUAGCUUAAAAAAGAGCAUAGUAUUGAAGAUACUAAGGUAGUAAUUUUACUUUUAAAUA